AUACGGAGGGCGCAAGCGUUGUUCGGAAUCAUUGGGCGUAAAGCGCGUGUAGGCGGCUUGGCAAGUCGGACGUGAAAGCCCGGGGCUCAACCCCGGAACGGCGCCCGAAACUGCCUGGCUAGAGUCCCGGAGAGGAGGGCGGAAUUCCCGGUGUAGAGGUGAAAUUCGUAGAUAUCGGGAGGAACACCAGCGGCGAAGGCGGCCCUCUGGACGGUGACUGACGCUGAGACGCGAAAGCGUGGGGAGCAAACAGGAUUAGAAACCCCGGUAGUCC
rnacentral:rRNA from 1 species